UAGGGAAUCUUCGGCAAUGGACGGAAGUCUGACCGAGCAACGCCGCGUGAGUGAAGAAGGUUUUCGGAUCGUAAAGCUCUGUUGUUAGAGAAGAACGUUGGUAGGAUUGGAAAAUCAACCAAGUGACGGUAACUAACCAGAAAGGGACGGCUAACUACGUGCCAGCAGCCGCGGUAAUACGUAGGUCCCGAGCGUUGUCCGGAUUUAUUGGGCGUAAAGCGAGCGCAGGCGGUUCUUUAAGUCUGAAGUUAAAGGCAGUGGCUUAACCAUUGUACGCUUUGGAAACUGGAGGACUUGAGUGCAGAAGGGGAGAGUGGAAUUCCAUGUGUAGCGGUGAAAUGCGUAGAUAUAUGGAGGAACACCGGUGGCGAAAGCGGCUCUCUGGUCUGUAACUGACGCUGAGGCUCGAAAGCGUGGGGAGCAAACAGG
rnacentral:rRNA from 1 species